UACGAAGGUCCCAAGCGUUAUCCGGAUUUAUUGGGUUUAAAGGGUGCGUAGGCGGGCUAUUAAGUCAGUGGUGAAAGCCCCAGCUUAAUUUGGGAACUGCCAUUGAUACUGAUGGUCUUGAGUACAUUUGAGGUGGGCGGAAUGUGUCAUGUAGCGGUGAAAUGCUUAGAUAUGACACAGAACACCGAUUGCGAAGGCAGCUCACUAAACUGUAAACUGACGCUGAGGCACGAAAGCGUGGGGAGCGAACAGG
rnacentral:rRNA from 1 species